UACGGGGGGGGCAAGCGUUGUUCGGAAUUACUGGGCGUAAAGGGCGCGUAGGCGGCCUGCUAAGUCGGAUGUGAAAUCCCUCGGCUCAACCGAGGAACUGCAUCCGAUACUGGCGGGCUUGAAUCCGGGAGAGGGAUGUGGAAUUCCAGGUGGUAGCGGGUGAAAAUGCGUGAGAUAUCUGGAGGAACACCGGUGGCGAAGGCGGCGUCCUGGACCAAUACUGACACUGAGGAGCGAAAGCCAGGGGAGCAAACGGG
rnacentral:rRNA from 1 species